UAGCGUAGGGUGCAAGCGUUAUCCGGAAUUAUUGGGCGUAAAAGAGCUCGUAGGCGGUUUGUCGCGUCUGCUGUGAAAACCCGAGGCUCAACCUCGGGCCUGCAGUGGGUACGGGCAGACUAGAGUGCGGUAGGGGAGAUUGGAAUUCCUGGUGUAGCGGUGGAAUGCGCAGAUAUCAGGAGGAACACCGAUGGCGGAAGGCAGAUCUCUGGGCCGUAACUGACGCUGAGGAGACGAAAGCGUGGGGAGCGAACAGG
rnacentral:rRNA from 1 species